rnacentral:rRNA from 1 species
GCACCGGAGGAGGGUUCGUGUUUCGGGGGAAAGAGGGUUUAAGUGAUACCGGGAGAGUGCACUCACGCCUAAAAGUCUCCGGCUCGGUGUCCAUCCGGCAAUAGCACCCGCAGGUAAACCCGGAACCCUACACGUAGAGCAGUCACCCACCGUCCGGAUACGUCUCUUUAUGUCGGGCGCUAUGCGGAUCCCUCACACAUCCGCAUAAGACACGCCGGGUAGCUGGCGCUGACGGGGGGCGGUGUCGUGUCCUUCCUCUUAGAGCAGCAGGGGAUAGGGUUUUGAAAUGGGGCACCUCUUCGGGGUCAGGAGAGACGGGAGAAGAGAAAGGGGGGCCCGCUGCCGCCGCCCCACGAUAGGCCGCUCUACAGGUGGUUGCCGCCGCUGACGCGGCCCAAGUCCGAGAGGCCUCGUGAGCAGGAGGAGGUGAGGCCGCUGGUUUAGUGGGCCUAGGGCGCAGUAGAAGGUGAGGUCGCCGCUGAGUUGAGUUCAAACGUCUUGUGGCCUAGACGGGUCCCGUUCCGGGAGCAGGUGCUUACACCGGCCCUUUUUAGUAAAAGAAGUAAAAAAACCAGCCACUCCGACCUAGUGUGCAGUUAAUGAACACGAAAAGAGGAUCGACAACUAGUAGACAAGGUCUAAACGUGAAAAAAACCACUAAAAAUAAAACAAGGUAGAUAGGAAAACUCUGCCCACUAGAUCGACAUACCGAGCUAGCUCUACGUAUAGUGAAGACGACAAUUUAGGUUUUAUCUGACGAGAGGAAACAAAAGAACAUUAGGGGAAGGAAGAUAAGGAAGACAUGUAUACGCUAAAAGAAAACAAACAAACAUUAGGGGAAGCAGACCUGACCUAUCUAGAGAGCAGUAGGACAACGACGCGUCCAGGUUUAAACGGCACUACAAAAAUAUCUGUUAUAUAUACAACAAAAAAUAAGUAUGGGUACGAAUACACGGUCUAACUGAAUUAAAGACACUACAGAACUCCUAAGGAGAUUGAACCUAUUAACUACGAAUUAGGACGACCUUGAAUUAUUACCUAAACUACAAGACAAGAACUACACGAUUAGGUUCCAACUAUUAAUAAAGAAUUCACCCCAUCUCAAACUUAAGGAUGGUGACUAACGUUUUUAGAAGACAAGGUACCUAAAGUCAAACAAAGCAACUGGUGAAAGGGUCCUCAGUGUCUGAACUCGUUGCAACUACCAGUUCACACAGCACCGCCGCUCCGGUGUAGGGAACAGUCUUUGCGACCAACGCCUCGAUGUUCACCGACCUGGUCUUCCUAAUCCUAGCCGUUACGAGGACUCCUCUCCCUCUACUUGGGGUUGUCCUUUUGUAGCGAUGUUAACAGACACGCACGAAUACCUCUCUUCCCACAUAGUUGGCACCACAACAACCUGUGGUCUUGACAGAAAAUACGGGAAGGGACUUAACAACAAACAACAUGAAACAAUUUAGUAUCCCGACAAUACAUUUUACGUACAAUUUAGAACCCCGACAAUGAAAAUCAAAUGUAUUGACGAUCAAGCUUUGACACCGUAACUAUAGUACGGUGAUGAAUCGAAACCAUACGUCUUUGACUUAAGUUUACAACAACACCGACGACAAUUGAUGUGUACGGACGUAGAACAAAGACAACUCGAAAUCUGAGAUCAUCAAUAUAGGAACUGGACUUACACAACAUGGUUGGCUCGACCUACGUGGGCCCC